rnacentral:misc_RNA from 1 species
CUUACAUCAAUAACUAAUAUAAAAUGGUAUGUAUACAGUUUGAAAAGCCGGUUUGAACGCUAAAGAAUUAAGAGCCAAGUCGGAGCAGGAGUUGGA